UACGUAGGGCGCAAGCGUUAUCCGGAAUUAUUGGGCGUAAAGAGCUCGUAGGCGGUUUGUCGCGUCUGCCGUGAAAGUCCGGGGCUCAACUCCGGAUCUGCGGUGGGUACGGGCAGACUAGAGUGAUGUAGGGGAGACUGGAAUUCCUGGUGUAGCGGUGAAAUGCGCAGAUAUCAGGAGGAACACCGAUGGCGAAGGCAGGUCUCUGGGCAUUAACUGACGCUGAGGAGCGAAAGCAUGGGUAGCGAAUGGG
rnacentral:rRNA from 1 species